UACGUAGGGUGCGAGCGUUGUCCGGAAUUAUUGGGCGUAAAGAGCUCGUAGGCGGUCUGUCGCGUCGGCUGUGAAAUCCCGAGGCUCAACCUCGGGUCUGCAGUCGAUACGGGCAAACUAGAGUAUUGCAGGGGAGACUGGAAUUCCUGGUGUAGCGGUGAAAUGCGCAGAUAUCAGGAGGAACACCAGUUGCGAAGGCGGCUGACUGGACACAUAUUGACGCUGAGGCUCGAAAGCAUGGGGAGCAAACAGG
rnacentral:rRNA from 1 species